AGGCUCUUUCUAAAUCUCAGUACCAUCAGUACCAGCUGGUCUCUCUAAAGAGGCACCAGGCCAGCACCUGCUUCUGGAGUUUGGAGUUAAAUGAGCCAAUUCAAGGAGCAAAGGAGGUGAAGGAAACCAGCAAGAGUGUGGCCAGCAGGCCAAAAUGGAGUGGCUGGGAUGAGCUUGUCCCCUGCAUCGGCACCUGACCACGUCCGCCCGGCCUCUGAUGAGGUCAGCAAGUCAGCUGGAUUACCGGAGUGUUUCCAUCGAAUGUGUGAUUCGCCACGCUCAGCGGGGGGCUUGCUGCUCCCAACAGAACCAAACAGGGCGCUCCUUCCUGGCAAUGUCUCUCUUAACCCCCCCCAAAUAAGGGUAUUUUUAUACGGCUAUGAAAC